rnacentral:rRNA from 1 species
GAUGAACGCUAGCGGCAGGCUUAACACAUGCAAGUCGAGGGGCAGCAUGAUUGUUAGCAAUAACAAUUGAUGGCGACCGGCGCAAGGGUGCGUAACGCGUGAGCAACUUGCCCUUAUCAGGGGGAUAACCGUUGGAAACGACGACUAAUACCCCAUAGUAUCUGGAGAAGGCAUCUUUUUCAGCUUAAAGAAAUUCGGAUAAGGAUAGGCUCGCGUGACAUUAGCUAGUUGGCGGGGUAACGGCCCACCAAGGCGACGAUCAGUAGCCGGACUGAGAGGAUGAACGGCCACAUUGGGACUGAGAUACGGCCCAGACUCCUACGGGAGGCAGCAGUGGGGAAUAUUGGGCAAUGGGGGAAACCCUGACCCAGCAACGCCGCGUGAAGGAAGAAGGCCUUCGGGUUGUAAACUUCUUUUAGCAGGGACGAAGGACGUGACGGUACCUGCAGAAAAAGCAACGGCUAACUACGUG